GAAAAUUAGAAAAUUCAUAAGACAUUGAAUUCAAGUUUACCACUGGAAAAUCUGUAACCUGUGUCAGAAAAUAAGAAACAAAAAUGAACUACCAUUUUCAUUUGCAGUGCAUUCCAGGUAAUCUCAAGCAGAGGCAAACAUUUGAACAAGGAAGCAUAGACGCACAGAGCUGAGCAUGCUUGGAGCACGCAAUGGCUUUGCAGAUUCGGUGAGAAAGCUGAACAGUGUACAGUUAUAUUAGAUAGACCCUCACUUCACACUUCAUGGAAUUUAAGAUAUUUUUCAUUUCUUUCAGUAUGGAAACACCCCUCUGCACUAUGCUGCUCAUGCUAACAACAUGGAACGUGUGAUUGAACUUCUAAACAAUGGAUUUAAUGUGCUGCA